ensembl:lncRNA
CCAGCUCCUGUCUCUGGUGGACUCAGGGACGCUUCCUUGAUGCUCAGGAGGUAAAGUUAAAAAAUCAUCUGGAAGUCAGUAUACACAUCUCCAUUUUCAUGUAGAGGAAAGAAGUAGAGCUUAAAAAUAACAUUACUGUAAGGUGGGUGUUUUCUUUUGGUUUGUUUCUUCCACUUCAGAGAUUAUUAGGUUCAAAGCUGCAGUCAGAUCAAUUACUGAGCCUUUCCUUGUUCUCAGAUUGCCUUCUCUCAAUCCACACCCUUCUCUCCACCCACUCUUAUCUAACUUGCUGACUAACCAAGCUCAGUGCACAGUAAGACACUAACAUACAGCUACUGAAGAGAAAAGGUACAAAACCACAAGUGAUGAGCAAAGUAUGGGAAAAACCACUGUUGUGAACACAUUUACCGCAAGACAGCAGCUAAAGGACAAUGAAGAACAAAUAACACCACCGACCUGACUAAUUAAUGUCCAUGAAGCAACUGGAACAUAAUUACAGAAAAGUAAGAAAAGGUCAAUAAAAUCAGUAAUUACCUUUCACAGAUAGACUGAUCCACAAAUACAUUUUAAAGCACACAUACAUAGAUGACUCUUAAGUCUUUCUCCAUUCUUUAACCUUCAUAUCCCUAGGCAGGUCUCCAUGAAGUAAAAGUAUGCUGAAGUCACCAGGAAUUAUACUAGACCUACAGGGAUGAAACUGUAGCCCACCUUUUUCCACAGACCUCUCUCACUUUGCUUAUACUUGCACCAUGAUAAAGAACUCAUUAUAAAGUUAAAGAACACUGAAUACCUACCAGCUGUCUGUACCAACAGGAGAGGCUAAACUUGACUCAAAUCCAAAAGAUACAGACCUCCAGAAAACCACAUUAAUGUCUUUACCAUAUGCUACUUAGCUAUAGGAGACCCGCUGGAAAUCAGACCAGGAAACUGCUCACUAUGCCACAAGAACAGAUCAACCUGCUAUAGAACACAAAUGCUUUACGCUCCCCUCAGAGCACCCACAUAACAGAUCUACACAAUCAACAGUAAUUACC